GUAGCUUGCUAUGAGCUGUUUUAGCGGCGGACGGGUGAGUAACGCGUGAGCAACCUUUCCCAGACAGGGGAAUAACACACCGAAAGGUGUACUAAUACCGCAUAAGACCACGGGAUCACAUGGUUCUGAGGUAAAAGAUUAUCGGUUUGGGGUGGGCUCGCGUCCGAUUAGGUAGUUGGUGAGGUAACGGCCCACCAAGCCGACGAUCGGUAGCCGACCUGAGAGGGUGAUCGGCCACAUUGGGACUGAGACACGGCCCAAACUCCUACGGGAGGCAGCAGUGGGGAAUAUUGGGCAAUGGAGGAAACUCUGACCCAGCAACGCCGCGUGGAGGAAGAAGGUUUUCGGAUCGUAAACUCCUGUCCUUGGAGACGAGUAGAAGACGGUAUCCAAGGAGGAAGCCCCGGCUAACUACGUGCCAGCAGCCGCGGUAAUACGUAGGGGGUAAGCGUUGUCCGGAAUAAUUGGGCGUAAAGGGCGCGUAGGCGGCUCGGUAAGUCUGGAGUGAAAGUCCUGCUUUUAAGGUGGGAAUUGCUUUGGAUACUGUCGGGCUUGAGUGCAGGAGAGGUUAGUGGAAUUCCCAGUGUAGCGGUGAAAUGCGUAGAGAUUGGGAGGAACACCAGUGGCGAAGGCGACUAACUGGACUGUAACUGACGCUGAGGCGCGAAGGUGUGGGGAGCAAAC
rnacentral:rRNA from 1 species